UACGUAGGGUGCGAGCGUUGUCCGGAAUUAUUGGGCGUAAAGAGCUCGUAGGCGGUGUGUCGCGUCGGCCGUGAAAACCUGGGGCUCAACUCUGGGCGUGCGGUCGAUACGGGCAUCACUGGAGUUCGGCAGGGGAGACUGGAAUUCCUGGUGUAGCGGUGAAAUGCGCAGAUAUCAGGAGGAACACCGGUGGCGAAGGCGGGUCUCUGGGCCGUAACUGACGCUGAGGAGCGAAAGCGUGGGGAGCGAACAGG
rnacentral:rRNA from 1 species